AGCUUGCUCCUUGGAUCAGUGGCGAACGGGUGAGUAACACGUGAGUAACCUGCCCCAAACUCUGGGAUAAGCACUGGAAACGGUGUCUAAUACCGGAUACGAGCUUCAGCCGCAUGGCUAGGAGUUGGAAAGAAUUUCGGUUUGGGAUGGACUCGCGGCCUAUCAGCUAGUUGGUGAGGUAAUGGCUCACCAAGGCGACGACGGGUAGCCGGCCUGAGAGGGUGACCGGCCACACUGGGACUGAGACACGGCCCAGACUCCUACGGGAGGCAGCAGUGGGGAAUAUUGCACAAUGGGCGCAAGCCUGAUGCAGCAACGCCGCGUGAGGGACGACGGCCUUCGGGUUGUAAACCUCUUUUAGUAGGGAAGAAGCGAAAGUGACGGUACCUGCAGAAAAAGCACCGGCUAACUACGUGCCAGCAGCCGCGGUAAUACGUAGGGUGCAAGCGUUGUCCGGAAUUAUUGGGCGUAAAGAGCUCGUAGGCGGUUUGUCGCGUCUGCUGUGAAAACCCGAGGCUCAACCUCGGGCCUGCAGUGGGUACGGGCAGACUAGAGUGCGGUAGGGGAGAUUGGAAUUCCUGGUGUAGCGGUGGAAUGCGCAGAUAUCAGGAGGAACACCAAUGGCGAAGGCAGAUCUCUGGGCCGUAACUGACGCUGAGGAGCGAAAGCAUGGGGAGCGAACAGGAUUAGAUACCCUGGUAGUCCAUGCCGUAAACGUUGGGAACUAGAUGUGGGGACCAUUCCACGGUCUCCGUGUCGCAGCUAACGCAU
rnacentral:rRNA from 1 species